rnacentral:rRNA from 1 species
UGGGGAAUAUUGGGCAAUGGAGGCAACUCUGACCCAGCAACGCCGCGUGAGGGAAGAAGGUUUUCGGAUUGUAAACCUCUGUCCUAGGGGACGAAGAAAGUGACGGUACCCUAGGAGGAAGCCCCGGCUAACUACGUGCCAGCAGCCGCGGUAAUACGUAGGGGGCGCGCGUUGUCCGGAAUUACUGGGCGUAAAGGGUGCGUAGGCGGUUUGGUAAGUUAGAUGUGAAAUCCCCGGGCUUAACUCGGGAGUUGCAUUUAAAACUGCUGAACUAGAGUGCAGGAGAGGAAAGCGGAAUUCCUAGUGUAGCGGUGAAAUGCGUAGAUAUUAGGAGGAACACCAGUGGCGAAGGCGGCUUUCUGGACUGUAACUGACGCUGAGGCACGAAAGCGUGGGGAGCGAACA